UGUUGCGUAUUAUAUACAAUCUUUUUUUUUUGACACGAUGGACAGGUCGGCACCGAUGAUAGUUUCAGUAAAAUGGAUUGUCGCAUUUGUGCCGUUGGCUUUUAGGCGAUCUCUCUUUUGCAGCAAGUCCAUAGCAUUGCGAGCGAUGGAGACUUUGGGAGUGUUUUCUAAAAAAAAAUGCGAGGAAAAUAUGAAGGUGCUUUUAUGGAUGCGUGGAGAGCCACUUUGAAGAACGAAAAUCUUUCGAUAUGGUAAACAGGCACAAAUGAGAGAAAAUUGACUAUCCGAAUACAUGUUUAAACAUUCAAGGCUGGCAGAAGGUGUAGAUACGGCUAUCACAAAGAACUAUGUAACUGGAGUAGAUAUUAUGCAGAUGGAUAUGUUGUUACCCUGCUAUUAUACAAAGCGGUGGAAAUUACUGGCUUACAUUUGCCGCCGUUAGUGACAACAAUACUCUCCACUUUGGUGUUGUUUGUUCAUUGGGAGUACGUUACAAAUUUUAUUGUUCAAACAUAGUGAGAACUUUGGUAAACCCCACAAAAAUAAUUGAGGAAAAUUGUAAUUUUUGGUUACAACUGGAAGCGGAGAUCUUGAAAAAGUUAGUCGCAGGAACAAAAUUAAGUAAAGUAUAUGAGGCUGGUAUUAAAUCCAGCAGCCAAGAGAAAAAACGAUUUCUCCUAUUUAUAUUCUAUAUCCUCUUCAUAAUAGUGCGGAUAUGGCGCGAUUCAGG